GCAUCUGUAGCUCAGUGGAUAGAGCAGCGGUUUCCGGUACCGCGUGUCGGGGGUUCGAUUCCCUUCAGAUGUA
rnacentral:tRNA from 1 species